rnacentral:lncRNA from 1 species
AGCCAUAUGAUGACACCAUCAAACUUGACCUCUUCCUGUCCCUGCAGGAGUCAGUUGAUGCAGAGUCCUGCCUGGCUCGGGCUCAGCCUUCGCCUGGGCCUUUGGUGGAUGAACCCUGGAGAGGGAAGAAUGGGCUUCUGGACCUGAAGAGUUCCAUGGCAGACACCUCCUUCUCAUAGAAACUGGCCUGCCCCGUGAGUUACCGUCCAGCGUCAUCCUCGAGCACCUGCCACCCGCGCUGGGGACUCCCUGCAAGCAAACUAAAGAAGAAAGAGCCCUGCUGUCCUGCAAGCAAAGCCACCAGUGAGCCCCUCCUCAGUCCCCUGGUGCACAGGCAGCUGGAUGUGACCGUGAAUAAGAGCCAUUGAUUAGUCUGUCACACGAAGACACUACCAGCAGCAUCCCAGCCAGCAGGGAAGAGGAACAGUUCUGCCGUCCCCAGAGCCCAAAGGAGCCCAGCAGAUCACAGACGUGGCCAGGGGUAUGCACUGGCUCAGGGGAGCUGUGUGGCCUCAAGGACGUUACCUCCCAUCUCUGAUCCUGUAAGAUGUGGUUAAAAACACCGAUGUCUCGGGGUCGUGUAGGGCUUAACAGGGUGAAGGACAGUGAAGAAUGGAGGUGCACUGCUGUGCUUGGCGGCCCACACCCAACUGCUCAGGAGGCUGAGGCAGGACAAAGCCUUAGAGGCCAGCGUCUUGAAGCAGCACAAUGAGAUUCCUCCAGUCUGUCUCAAAUACAUAAAUAGAUGAAUAAAAUGUAAAAUGACCAGCUGCUGGGAGAGGGAAGUGACUGAAGCAUCUCAAGGGCUUCUGGCAGAGGACCUAAGGCAUGAACUACAUCAAGGGUUCUGCCAUUUCCCUGAAGAGCCUCCCUUGGCAAGACGUGAGGACUCACAACAUUGUCCCAGCUCACUUCAGAGAUGCCCGCAGACAACUACCUCAGCAACACGAUUAGCCUCCAGGAUUCUGAAUGGGUUGCUCACCCACCGACUGAUGCAUGCUCAGACCCU